GUGCACUACGGUGGCACAUAUACUAAAAUUGGAUCGAUACAGAGAAGAUUAGCAUGGCCCCUGCGCAAAGGCGCCAUGCUAAUCUUCUCUGUAUCGAUCCAAUUUU